rnacentral:rRNA from 1 species
GAUGAACGCUGGCGGCGUGCCUAAUACAUGCAAGUCGAGCGAACGGACGAGAAGCUUUCUCCCCUGAUGUUAGCGGCGGACGGGAGAGUAACACGUGGAUAACCUACCUAUAAGACUGGGAUAACUACGGGAAACAGGAGCUAAUACCGGAUAAUAUUUUGAACUGGAUGGUGCAAGAGUUAAAGACGGUCUUGCUGUCACUUAUAGAUGGAUCCGCGCUGCAUUAGUUAGUUGGUAAGGUAACGGCUUACCAAGGCUACGAUGCAGAGCCGACCUGAGAGGGUGAUCGGCCACCCUGGAACUGAGGAACGGUCCAGACUCCUACGGGAAGCAGCAGUAGGGAAUCUUCCGCAAAGGGGGAAAGCCUGACGGAGCAACGCCGCGUGAGUGAUGAAGGUCUUCGGAUCGUAAAACUCUGUUAUUAGGGAAGAACAUAUGUGUAAGUAACUGUGAACAUCUUGACGGUACCUAAUCAGAAAGCCACGGCUAACUACGUG